rnacentral:rRNA from 1 species
ACGCACGCUGGCGGCGUGCUUAACACAUGCCAGUCGAACGGAAAGGCCCUGCUUGCAGGGUGCUCGAGUGGCGAACGGGUGAGUAACACGUGGGUGAUCUGCCCCUUACUUUGGGAUAAGCCUGGGAAACUGGGUCUAAUACUGGAUAGGACCAUGCUGUAGGUGGUGUGGUGGAAAGAUUAGUUUCGGUAAGGGAUGAGCUCGCGGCCUAUCAGCUUGUUGGUGGGGUAAUGGCCUACCAAGGCGUCGACGGGUAGCCGGCCUGAGAGGGUGGACGGCCACAUUGGGACUGAGAUACGGCCCAGACUCCUACGGGAGGCAGCAGUGGGGAAUAUUGCACAAUGGGCGCAAGCCUGAUGCAGCGACGCCGCGUGGGGGAUGACGGCCUUCGGGUUGUAAACUCCUUUCAGCCAUGACGAAGCCCUUGUGGUGACGGUAGUGGUAGAAGAAGCACCGGCUAACUACGUG